AUUGAACACUUGCGGCAGGCCUAACACAUGCAAGUCGAACGGUAACAGCAGAGCUUGCUCUGGCUGACGAGUGGCGGACGGGUGAGUAACGCGUAGGAAUCCACCCAGUAGUGGGGGACAACUUGGGGAAACUCAAGCUAAUACCGCAUACGCCCUACGGGGGAAAGCGGGGGACCUUCGGGCCUCGUGCUAUUGGAUGAGCCUGCGUUAGAUUAGCUAGUUGGUAGGGUAAUGGCCUACCAAGUCUACGAUCUUUAGCUGGUCUGAGAGGACGAUCAGCCACACUGGAACUGAGACACGGUCCAGACUCCUACGGGAGGCAGCAGUGAGGAAUAUUGCACAAUGGGGGAAACCCUGAUGCAGCCAUGCCGCGUGUAUGAAGAAGGCCUUAGGGUUGUAAAGUACUUUCAAUAGUGAAGAUUAUGAGUACUUUCAAUAGUGAAGAUUAUGACGGUAGCUAUAGAAGAAGCCCCGGCUAAAUUCGUGCCAGCAGCCGCGGUAAUACGAAUGGGGCAAGCGUUGUUCGGAAUAACUGGGCUUAAAGCGUGCGCAGGCGGUGUGCUAAACCAGAUUGGAAAGCCCCGGGCUCAACCUGGGAACUGCAUUUGGAACUGGCAGGCUAGAGUACGGUAGAGGGUGGUAGAAUUUCCUGUUUAGCGGUGAAAUGCGUAGAUAUAGGAAGGAAUACCAGUGGCGAAGGCGGCCACCUGGACUGAUACUGACGCUGAGGUGCGAAAGCGUGGGGAGCGAACAGGAUUAGAUACCCUGGUAGUCCACGCCGUAAACGAUGUCAACUAGCCGUAGGGAUCCUUGAGGUCUUUGUGGCGCAGCUAACGCAAUAAGUUGACCGCCUGGGGAGUACGGCCGCAAAACUAAAACUCAAAUGAAUUGACGGGGGCCCGCACAAGCGGUGGAGCAUGUGGUUUAAUUCGAUGCAACGCGAAGAACCUUACCUGGUCUUGACAUCCCAAGAAUCUUUUAGAGAUAAGAGAGUGCCUUCGGGAACUUGGAGACAGGUGCUGCAUGGCAGUCGUCAGCUCGUGUCGUGAGAUGUUGGGUUAAGUCCCGCAACGAGCGCAACCCCUAUCCUUGGUUGCCAGCACAUAAUGGUGGGAACUCCAGGGAGACUGCAGGUGACAAACCGGAGGAAGGUGGGGAUGACGUAAAGUCAUCAUGGCCCUUAUGACCAGGGCUACACACGUGCUACAAUGGGCAGUACAGAGGGGCGCAAUACCGCGAGGUGGAGCCAAUCCCAGAAAACUGCUCGUAGUCCGGAUCGGAGUCUGCAACUCGACUCCGUG
rnacentral:rRNA from 1 species